GAUGAACGCUAGCGGCAGGCCUAAUACAUGCAAGUCGGACGGGAUCCAUUGAUAGCUUGCUAUCAAUGGUGAGAGUGGCGCACGGGUGCGUAACGCGUGAGCAACCUGCCUCCAUCAGGGGGAUAGCCUCUCGAAAGAGAGAUUAACACCGCAUAAUAUCAACAGUUCGCAUGUUCAGUUGAUUAAAUAUUUAUAGGAUGGAGAUGGGCUCGCGUGACAUUAGCUAGUUGGUAGGGUAACGGCUUACCAAGGCGACGAUGUCUAGGGGCUCUGAGAGGAGAAUCCCCCACACUGGUACUGAGACACGGACCAGACUCCGACGGGAGGCAGCAGUAAGGAAUAUGGGUAAAUGGGCGGAAGCCUGAACCAGCCAUGCCGCGUGCAGGAUGACUGCCCUAUGGGUUGUAAACUGCUUUUGUCCAGGAAUAAACCUAAAUACGAGUAUUUAGCUGAAUGUACUGGAAGAAUAAGGAUCGGCUAACUCCGUG
rnacentral:rRNA from 1 species